GAUCCCUAGCGGCUGCAGAGUGGAACAUGGCGGCCUCCUUGCCGCUUGCGUUACCAGAGUCCACCCGGCCUCGUGCUUUCUCCGGGCGCCCGUAGCUGGCGCCGGCAUCCACAAAAAUAGAUCAGGUCAUAAAAGGCACUGCAGCUUCCAUGUUGGUCUUUUGGAUCACUGGAUCUGGGGGAAACCAACCACUGUGUUGUGAGGACACGCAAGCAGUUCUGUGGAGGCUCACGUGGAGAGGAAAGAACCAGGGGACCAGCUACCUUGCAAAUCAACCCUAACAACUUGGUUGAUGACACAAAGACCACAAAGGAAAGAGUACAUGAAGCAGGGCCCUUUGAACCUAUGGAGCACAGUUUGGCACUAUGUACCAAUGACACUUGUUUUAAUUAACAAACCAAUAUUGAUACAUUAUUAUUAACUAUAGUCUAUAUUAAGGUUCUCUUUUUUUGUAUUGUACAGAUCUGUGGGGUUUUGACAAAUGCAUAAUAUUGUGUAUCCACCAUUACACUGUCAUACAGAAUAGUUUUUACUGCCCUGAAAAGCCUCUGUGCUCUACCUAUUUAACCCUCUGCGCUCACACCAAACCCCUGGCAACCACUGACUGACCUUUUUACAUUCCCUAUAGUUCUGCUUUUUGCAGAAUGUCAUAGUAGAAAUCAUACACUAUGUAGACUUUUCAGACUGGCUUCUUUCAUGUAACAAUAUGCAUUUGUUUCUUCCAUGUCUUUUCUUAGCUUGGUAGCUCAUUUCUUUCUGUUGCUGAAUAAUAUUCCAUUGAAUGGAUGUGCCAGACUUUGUUUAUUCAUUCACCUAUUAAAGGACAUCUUGGUGGCUUCCAGUUUCUGGCAAUUG
rnacentral:lncRNA from 10 species